rnacentral:rRNA from 1 species
AGGACGAACGCUGGCGGCGUGCUUAACACAUGCAAGUCGAGCGGUAAGGCCUUUCGGGGUACACGAGCGGCGAACGGGUGAGUAACACGUGGGUGAUCUGCCCUGCACUCUGGGAUAAGCCUGGGAAACUGGGUCUAAUACCGGAUAUGACCUGCUCUCGCAGUGGGGGUGGGUAGGAAAGUAUUUAUCGGUGCGAGGAGUGGGCCCGCGGCCUAUCAGUCUUGGUUGGUGGGUAAUCGGCCUACCGAAGGCGACGGACGGGUAGCCGACCUGGAGAGGGUGACCCGGCCACACGUGGACUGAGAC